rnacentral:rRNA from 1 species
AUACGUAGGGGGCAAGCGUUAUCCGGAAUUACUGGGCGUAAAGCGUGCGUAGGCGGCCAUGCAAGCUUGGGGUCUAAGGCUGCGGCUUAACCGCGGCAUGCCCUAAGAACUGUAUGGCUUGAGUGCAGGAGAGGAGAGUGGAAUUCCUAGUGUAGCGGUGAAAUGCGUAGAGAUUAGGAGGAACACCAGUGGCGAAGGCGACUCUCUGGACUGCAACUGACGCUCAGGCACGAAAGCGUGGGUAGCGAACAGGAUUAGAUACCCUGGUAGUCCACGCCGUAAACGAUGAGUGCUAGGUGUCGGAGGGGUCACCCUUCGGUGCCGCAGCUAACGCAUUAAGCACUCCGCCUGUGGAGUACGGUCGCAAGACUGAA